UUAGGAAUUUUGCACAAUGGGGGAAACCCUGAUGCAGCAACGCCGCGUGGAUGAUGAAGGCCUUCGGGUCGUAAAAUCCUUUUCAACGGGAAGAUACGGACGGUACCGUUGGAAUAAGCUUCGGCUAACUACGUGCCAGCAGCCGCGGUAAUACGUAGGAAGCGAGCGUUAUCCGGAUUUACUGGGCGUAAAGAGCGCGUAGGUGGUUCUAUAAGUUGGACGUGAAAGCCCCCGGCUUAACUGGGGAGGGUCGUUCAAUACUGUGGAACUUGAGGGUGGAAGAGGAAACUGGAAUUCCCGGUGUAGUGGUGAAAUGCGUAGAUAUCGGGAGGAACACCUGUGGCGAAGGCGAGUUUCUAGGCCACUUCUGACACUGAGGCGCGAAAGCGUGGGGAGCGAACGGA
rnacentral:rRNA from 1 species